ACUCCUACGGGAGGCAGCAGUGAGGAAUAUCGGUCAAUGGACGAGAGUCUGAACCAGCCAAGUCGCGUGAAGGAAGACGGCCCUACGGGUUGUAAACUUCUUUUGUAAGGGAAUAAAUAGUCUUACGCGCUAAGACGUUGCAGGUACCUUACGAAUAAGGAUCGGCUAACUCCGUGCCAGCAGCCGCGGUAAUACGGAGGAUCCGAGCGUUAUCCGGAUUUACUGGGUUUAAAGGGUGCGCAGGCGGCAUGUUAAGUCGGCGGUGAAAUUUUGCAGCUCAACUGUAAAAGAGCCUUCGAAACUGGCAAGCUUGAGUGUGGAUGAAGUAGGCGGAAUUUGUGGUGUAGCGGUGAAAUGCAUAGAUAUCACAAAGAACACCGAUUGCGCAGGCAGCUUACUAAACCAUAACUGACGCUCAUGCACGAAGGCGUGGGGAUCAAACAGGAUUAGAUACCCUGGUAGUC
rnacentral:rRNA from 1 species